rnacentral:lncRNA from 1 species
CAUGAGGGAUUCCACAGUGAUUCCCCAGAGGAACCACAGAGUUGGGAUGAGGACAGUGCAAGUGUGAGAGUGCUGGGUGUGAGGGUGCUGGGUGUGAGGGCACCAGGUGUGAGGGUGCUGGGUGUGAGGGCACCAGGUGUGAGGGUGCUGGUUGCGAGGGCACCAGGUGUGAGGGUGCUGGGUGCGAGGGCACCAGGUGAGAGGGUGCUGGGUGUGAGGGCACCACGUGUGAGGGUGCUGGGUGCGAGGGCACCAGGUGUGAGGGUGCUGGUUGCGAGGGCACCAGGUGUGAGGGUGCUGGGUGCGAGGGCACCAGGUGAGAGGGUGCUGGGUGUGAGGGCACCACGUGUGAGGGUGCUGGGUGUGAGGGCACCAGGUGUGAGGGUGCUGGCUGUGAGGGCACCAGGUGAGAGGGUGCUGGGUGCGAGGGCACCAGGUGAGAGGGUGCUGGGUGCGAGGGCACCGGGUGUGAGGGUGCUGGGUGCGAGGGCACCGGGUGAGAGGGUGCUGGGUGCGAGGGCACCAGGUGUGAGGGUGCUGGGUGCAUGCAAGGAUCUUGCCCAGGAGGGAAGAGAGCUUUUGAUUGACAGGAGGGAAACAUCCUCUCAGAAGUCAAGGGAUGGCCAGAGUGUAGUUAAUGUGUUGCCAAAGGAUCCUUGUGUCCUCAUGAGCUCAGAGAGUGAGGCAUGAGAACUUGAGGUAGGCCGCAGUAGUGUUGGCCGUGGUGGCCAUGCAAACAUAAUGAACAGAGUGACAAGCAGAGUGGAGGAUCUUUAGGACC